CACUCCUACGGGAGGCAGCAGUGGGGAAUAUUGGACAAUGGGCGCAAGCCUGAUCCAGCCAUGCCGCGUGAGUGAUGAAGGCCCUAGGGUUGUAAAGCUCUUUCACCGGUGAAGAUAAUGACGGUAACCGGAGAAGAAGCCCCGGCUAACUUCGUGCCAGCAGCCGCGGUAAUACGAAGGGGGCUAGCGUUGUUCGGAUUUACUGGGCGUAAAGCGCACGUAGGCGGACUAUUAAGUCAGGGGUGAAAUCCCGGGGCUCAACCCCGGAACUGCCUUUGAUACUGGUAGUCUUGAGUUCGAGAGAGGUGAGUGGAAUUCCGAGUGUAGAGGUGAAAUUCGUAGAUAUUCGGAGGAACACUAGUGGCGAAGGCGGCUCACUGGCUCGAUACUGACGCUGAGGUGCGAAAGCGUGGGGAGCAAACAGGAUUAGAAACCCUUGUAGUCCC
rnacentral:rRNA from 1 species